CAGCUGGGAUCUAAGACACAUGAA
rnacentral:piRNA from 1 species